rnacentral:rRNA from 1 species
GACGACGCUGGCGGCGUGCCUAAUACAUGCAAGUCGAACGAGUGGCGAACGGGUGAGUAACACGUGGGAACCUGCCCAUCAGAAGGGGAUAACACUUGGAAACGGUAGCUAAUACCGCAUACCAUCGGAUGUGCCCAGAUGGGAUUAGCUAGUAGGUGGGGUAAAGGCUCACCUAGGCGACGAGCCCUAGCUGGUCUGAGAGGAUGACCAGCCACACUGUAACUGAGACACGGUCCAGACUCCUACGGGAGGCAGCAGUGGGGAAUAUUGCACAAUGGGCGCAAGCCUGAUGCAGCCAUGCCGCGUGUAUGAAGAAGGCCUUCGGGUUGUAAAGUACUUUCAGCGGGGAGGCGUUACCCGCAGAAGAAGCACCGGCUAACUCCGUGCCAGCCGCCGCGGUAAUUC